rnacentral:rRNA from 1 species
CCCUCAGUAGCGGCGAGCGAACAGGGAAGAGCCCAGCACCGAAUCCCGCGUCCGUCUCGGUCGCCGGGAAAUGUGGUGUUAGGGAGGGUCCGCCAUCCCGAGGUCGCGCGGUCGGUCCAAGUCCUUCUUGAACGGGGCCACUUACCCAAAGAGGGUGCCAGGCCCGUGUGACUGCCGCCGGCAACGGGAGGAUCUCUCCUCAGAGUCGGGUUGCUUGAGAGUGCAGCCCUAAGUGGGUGGUAAACUCCAUCUAAGGCUAAAUAUAACCACGAGACCGAUAGCGAACAAGUACCGUGAGGGAAAGUUGAAAAGAACUUUGAAGAGAGAGUUCAAUAGUACGUGAAACCGUUCAGGGGUAAACCUGAGAAACCCGAAAUGUCGAAUGCCGAGAUUCAGCGUGUCUCGUCUGUGUGCGAGUGGUGGUUGAGUGACGGCCGACGAACUCGUCGACCGCGCCAUCCGCCGCCGAUGCGCGACGAACAUGUGCACUUCUCGGCUAGUAGGAAGUCGCGACCCGUUGGGUGUCGGUCUAAGGACCGCGGUGGAGCCCGGUGGCCGCUUCGGCGGUUUCAUUGGACCCGCGUGUUCCCGGCCGACUCGCUCGACGGUACGACAGUGGCGCGGGGCCGCGAUUAACUUCGCGUCCGGCCCGUCGCAAGUGCGGACGGUUAUCUGGAUGUCGGACCUAGUGCCGACUUCGGAGCCGCUCGACUGCUGGCGACGGUGUCCUCGGACAGACUCCGUAUACGCCGGUCGGCGACGAUUUAGCUUUGGGUACUUUCAGGACCCGUCUUGAAACACGGACCAAGGAGUCUAGCAUGUGCGCGAGUCAUUGGGACUUAGCGAAACCUAAAGGCGUAAUGAAAGUAAAGGCCGCCUUGCGCGCGCCUAGGGUGGAUGCGCCGGGCAACGUCCCGACGCCGCACACCCGGGGCGUCUCGUGCUCAUUGCGAGCUGAGGCGCACCCAGAGCGUACACGCUGGGACCCGAAAGA